CCCUGCAUCGAAAGUGAUUGUGGUACUGUUUGUGUCCCGGUCAUUGAUACUGCAGGAAUAGUAGCAUGUGAAAGCAUUUCCCGUGUUUGGAGUCCUUCCUACUCUAGCUACCAAACCCUGAGGCUUUCACACA